AGGUAGCUUGCUACUGAUCUUAGCGGCGGACGGGUGAGUAAUACUUAGGAAUCUGGCUAUUAGUGGGGGACAACAUUUCGAAAGGGAUGCUAAUACCGCAUACGUCCUACGGGAGAAAGCAGGGGAUCUUCGGACCUUGCGCUAAUAGAUGAGCCUAAGUCGGAUUAGCUAGUUGGUGGGGUAAAGGCCUACCAAGGCGACGAUCUGUAGCGGGUCUGAGAGGAUGAUCCGCCACACUGGGACUGAGACACGGCCCAGACUCCUACGGGAGGCAGCAGUGGGGAAUAUUGGACAAUGGGGGGAACCCUGAUCCAGCCAUGCCGCGUGUGUGAAGAAGGCCUUAUGGUUGUAAAGCACUUUAAGCGAGGAGGAGGGUACUGGUAUUAAUACUACCAGGUACUGGACGUUACUCGCAGAAUAAGCACCGGCUAACUCUGUGCCAGCAGCCGCGGUAAUACAGAGGGUGCGAGCGUUAAUCGGAUUUACUGGGCGUAAAGCGUGCGUAGGCGGCUAAUUGAGUCGGAUGUGAAAUCCCCGAGCUUAACUUGGGAAUUGCAUUCGAUACUGGUUAGCUAGAGUGUGGGAGAGGAUGGUAGAAUUCCAGGUGUAGCGGUGAAAUGCGUAGAGAUCUGGAGGAAUACCGAUGGCGAAGGCAGCCAUCUGGCCUAACACUGACGCUGAGGUACGAAAGCAUGGGGAGCAAACAGGAUUAGAUACCCUGGUAGUCCAUGCCGUAAACGAUGUCUACUAGCCGUUGGUCUCUUUGAGGGAUUAGUGGCGCAGCUAACGCGAUAAGUAGACCGCCUGGGGAGUACGGUCGCAAGACUAAAACUCAAAUGAAUUGACGGGGGCCCGCACAAGCGGUGGAGCAUGUGGUUUAAUUCGAUGCAACGCGAAGAACCUUACCUGGUCUUGACAUAGUAAGAACUUUCCAGAGAUGGAUUGGUGCCUUCGGGAACUUACAUACAGGUGCUGCAUGGCUGUCGUCAGCUCGUGUC
rnacentral:rRNA from 1 species